AGAAUGAACGCUGGCGGCGUGCCUUACACAUGCAAGUCGAGCGAGGCGGCCCGCAAGGGUCAGUCGAGCGGCGAACGGGUGAGUAACGCGUGGAUGACCUGCCCUGAGAUGGGGGAAUAACCCGGGGAAACUCGGGCUAAUACCGCAUGAGACCGAGAGGUGAAAGGCGGCUACGCAAGAGCUGUCGUCUUAGGAGGGGUCCGCGUCCGAUUAGCUAGUUGGUAGGGUAAUGGCCUACAAGGCGACGAUCGGUAGCCGGACCUGAGACGGGUGAGUCGGCCACACUGGAACUGAGACACGGUCAGACUCCUACGGAGGCAGCAGUGGGAAUUUGCGCAAGUGGGUACAAACGGCCUGACGCGACGCAACGCCGCGUGGACGGAUGAAGGUCCUUGGACUUGUAAACUCCUGUCAGCGAAGGAAAAGGAGACGACUAUACGUCGUUGACUUGAUUGUACUGACUAGA
rnacentral:rRNA from 1 species